AUGGCAAAACUCAUGUGCUUAUGUUUCAUCAUCCUCGCCAUUGCAGUGGCCGUGUCGGCCGAUGAAUGCAAGGGUGACCGACAGGACAUGAUCAAGGAGUGCGGCCAGUAUACGAAAUGGCCAGCAGAGCCAAAGCUAGACCCAUCGAAGGCGUGUUGUGCUGUGUGGCAGAAGGCGAACAUCCCAUGCCUUUGUGCCGGUCUCACCAAGGAGAAAGAAAAGAUAUGGUGUAUGGAGAAGGUCGGCUAUGUUGCCAAUUUCUGCAAGAAGCCAUUCCCACAUGGCUACAAGUGUGGAAGUUACACUUUCCCUCCUCUGGCGUAG
rnacentral:rRNA from 1 species